AGCUAGCAAGCGGUAUUCCGCUGCGUGCGUGCGUCGUCCGAGCAGUUGCGUGGUAAACGACCGUGUUCGAAAGACCAAA
rnacentral:lncRNA from 1 species